rnacentral:lncRNA from 1 species
UUACUCUCCCACAAAGAGCCACCCCUCACCUCUCUCUCUCACUAUCUCCCCUCUCACUAUCCUCUCUCUAGUUCCCCCGCCGCCUCCUCCUCCUCACGUCGGCCACCAUGGGCGAGUCAAACUCGCCGCCCUCGUCACCACUACCGUCCUUCGUUCUUCACAGGCCGGUUAACCGUCAAACCGCCGCCUUCUCCGCCUUCGCUCACCAGCCAUCGGAGAAAGAGCCCAGCGAACAACCAUCGCCGGAGGACGUUGGAAAACAGCCACCACUCCCAACGGCAGCCCACCGGCGCCUCCCGUCUCUCUCUCUACCGUUCGACAGCCAUGCAGCCGGCGGAACCCCGCCGCCUUGAACCAGCCACCGGCGCCGCUGCUGCCAUCAUCCCCUCCACUUCUCCACCGCCAUGCAACCACCAAUAACCACAAGAAAGCAACCAUCCGCCGCCCCGUUCCCCUCAGUCAGCCACUAGCAGUCGCCGUCCUCCCCUCCAUCUCCACGCCCAGAUCUGGUAACCCCUUCGUCGAAAAUCGAUGGGUGUUAGGACUCAUCCCGGGUUUCUUUUCUUGAUUAAUUUCUUGCCUAAAACUAAAAUUUGUGAUAAAGUGUUGUGUCUGCAUGUUUACCAAUAUUUGUUAAAUAACGCAUGAUCCCACACACUUCUUUUAAAUCUUGAAGUUUGUGGAAUGUGAUGUUAAGUUUUGCUCUUGUUUCAUGUUUUGUUUUCGUAAUUUGACAUAUGUAAAAGCCUUAGGAUUCUUGUCUGUGACCCUAAAUUGUGACUUGAGUAUCGAUUUUGUGACUCAUAGACUGAUUUUGUGGUUCGUAAUUUGUUAUGAUUUUUGUACUGCUGUAGUGUUUAGAUUUAGAUUAAUUUGAAUUUCUAAUUUUCAUGGGCAAUCUGGGUGAUUUGUUUACCUUAAUCAAGUUGUACAUGAUUUUCUUUGGUUACAUUAGAUGUGAUUAUGUUCCAAAUUACGGUAAUCCAAAAUAAAAGUAUCCUGUAUUUGUAAUUGCUCUUUCACAUGUGUUAUAUAUGAUAGCAAAAGUUAAUGCAUAUUUAUAUUUUCUAUUAUUUUAAAACAUCUUUUACUUAUUUAUUUAGGGUAAAUUUAUUUCCAAUUGAUUCAGUCUCUCCGAUUAAGGAAAAUAACGCCGUUGAUUGAUUUCCUCAACUUUUGCUUUCCUUUUAUUAUGUGAUUGAAUCUUACGUAAUUUAUUUUAUCAAAGGAUCUCCUUGAUUGACCCAUCAAAAUAUUUCCUUCCCUUUUACUUUCCCGACUUCCUCAUUAUAUAAACAUCCCUUUUUAUCACUUACGGACAACUCUUCAAUUACAAUCACUCUCUAAAAUAAAAACUACUAGAUACUGUAAGACGAAGAAAAGGAUAUUCUCAAGCUAUUUGGUUUCUCUGAUUCCGACAAGGCAUUCAUCUCGCUUUACUAUUGCAAUCAUACUACUUUUCGUUCUUUAUUAUUAUUUUCGUCGUUUACUGGUAAGUUCUCAAAACGAUGUAAUUUUCAUUCUUUGUGUGUAUUGAUUGCGUCAUGUUGUGAAAGCCUUUAGAAAGCAUGUCUAUAGGAAUAUUUCGAUGUUCGUUAUUAUAUGAGCUGUUUGCUUGCCAUUACAGUUUGUCUCACAGGUUUAAAUAAAUAAUUACGGGGUUUCCGAAGAGUCGCCGGGGUGUUUACAUUAUAUUGUAGUAGUUCUAUUUAAUUUUAUUUUCUUAUUAUUUGGUUUGUAAUAUUAUUGUAUAAACAUUACUGUUAUUGUAAUAAUAAUUUUGGGGACUGCUGGGGGGGGCUACGUACUCUGUGAAUAGUAUAGGUAGGCACAACUUAGGAUUUUCUGUGAAUAGUAUAGGUAGGCACAACUUAGGAUUUUCUGUGUAUUACGUGCUAUAUGAAUCACCUAAUAUUCGAAAACGUUUUGGCACUUAAAGCCAUAACUUAUUAACAUGUCAUUGCAUGUUUGGCACGUCAACAUUGAUCUAGGCAUAACAAAAUAAUUUAAUUUUUCACCGCAUGUUAGCAUUAAAUUCCUACACAUUCCUGCAUGGUAACAUGUUAAACAUUAGUCUUAAGCGAUUUUGGCACGUAAAAUAUGUUAUCACAUAUUUUAGUAUGUUAAAACAAAUAUUGUUAAAACACGUUAGCGUUAAAUUUUUUGAACAUUACCAUAUGUUUCAGCAUGUUAAAUUUUAGCAUUUUAAACAUUAGAAUUAAGCAUUCUUAGCUCAUUAAACACUAAAUUUGAGCAUGUGGUAUCUUCUUGUAUAUGCCUUAACAUUAAAAUAAGCAUGUCAAUAUAUUUUUCAACAUGUUAAUAAAUUUUCAGCAUGUUAAACAAUUUAUUUAAGCAUUUUUGGCACAUUCACAUUAAAUUCCUGCAUGUCCUUACAUGUUAGCUCACUCCAUAUUAAAAAUACAAUUUCAGCAUGACGAGUCAAUUUUCAGCAUGUUAGGUUUAAUUUCUGGGGUAUUUGAAUAAAAUUUCCGCGUGACGGUCAAAUUUCUACGUUACUAAAACUGUGUUACUGCAUUUUUAGCACAAUUAUAUGAAAUUACUGCAUACUAGUAGCUUUUUGAGCAUCCUCAACUUGUUAAACGCUAAAUUCUGUACAUAAUUGUAUUACUUAGCAUGUUAAUGCACUUUCAAUGUUUUGUUAUAUUCUCAUUAGUUUAACACUUGCACAAUGAAAUUCGUGAGCACAAUUUCUUGACAUAUUUACCACACUUUUGAGACCUUCUUUUAACAAUUUGACAAUACAUUGUUACAUUCUCGAGCCACAGUUACGUUUUAUCACACUGACACUUGUUGAACACUUAGAUAUCAUGUCAAUAGAUUAAUGACAAUUAGAAUGAGGAUUUAAUAUUUCGUGAUAGUUAUCAUGGAUUGAAAAGGGACGGGCAAAUAGCAACGCAGAAGUUUCACACCGAGGUGCCUUGAACAGGUGGGGAAAAGACGUUUAAAGCGGAGGGAAAAUCAAUCGAAGGGAAAUUCGGGUGAAAGGGCAAAUUCCUGUGAUUCUUGGUUAGCUGACUAAGAGCGGAUGAGGCGGGCAAGGAGUGUGGCAUUACUAUAGGUUUGAUUCAUCAAUGUCGGUAUCUCAGUCACAGAUUGAUGUUGUCCUAAAAAUACCCCUUUGUUUUUACUCAAUUAUAUCCAUAGUAUCAGGAUUUCGACCGCUCGGUUGUUCUUAUGGAUCUCGAUAUGUUUGGCUAAUAGCUAUUCUUUGUAUUUGCAUGUUAAUCACAUUAAUCAACUCUUUAAUAACUAAGGGGCUAAUGUGAGACAUUACUUGCCUCUUGACGUCCAAUGUGUUAUGCGUUUUGAGUUCUAAUCAACAUAGCUUUAUUUUGUCUAGACCACAAAUCCAAAAUAGCUAAGUCCAAUGCCUCUUGGAGAAUAGGCGGGACGAUAGGAAUUACCAAAGACGCUAGUUUUAUCCUUGUCUUAGAACGCCUUUAGAGUUAACAACCAGCCUAGGUGGGGUGGGAUGUGUAGUCAUUUGGAAGUGAUGAUCUCCAACCAACAUUGAAGGUUAGACAUGACUUACUAAGAGUUCGGCUAGUGGGUCGGAUGAUGAUUAAACAAGUUGGGGUUUUGAUCCGAAUGAGACCAAAACUUUUCUUUAUUUGAUUUGAUGGAUUUCUUUUAUUAUUUUAUUUACCUUACAUGUUCAUAUAUUUGGGGUAGUUAGUUUAUUACAUAGGCAAUUCCCUUUGUUAUAAUUGUUUUCUUUCUUCUUGCUUAUCUUAUUAUAUGUUUUUAUCACUUAGAUAAUCAACAAUUAGAAAUAACAAAAAAAUAACAUGCGUGUUCAUUAAUUAUUUUAUCACUUAGUCUGGGCAAUCCGAAAUUUUCUUGAAUAGUAUUCAAGAAAAGAGUCUUCUAGAAAAAUUCAUAGAAUUAGAGGAACUCCUCUUCUUGGACGAAAUGAUCAAGGAAUACUCGGAAACACAUCUCGAAGAGUUUGGGAUAGGAAUCCAUAAAGAAACGAUCCAAUUAAUCAAGAUGCAAAAUGAGUUAAAUAUUAAAUUAAUAAUAAAACAAAAGACCUUAUUUGAUCACAUAGAAUCUCCACGUAAAAUAUGAAUUUGGCUGAAAAUCACCUUUGUGGACCUCGAAAUGUGCCUCGCACCUUUCUUUUUGAAGCAAUUUGAACCUUUAUCCGAAUCUCUGGUGAACUAAGACAGUAAAAAAAUAGGUUAGUAGUUAGACUAGAUCGGUGCCCUAACGUACCUUAAUUCGUUAUGUGGUGUCUUUUCACAUUCUCUUCUCUACUAAUUCUAAAAAGAGUGGCCACGUUGAAUCUGGCUUUUCGCAUGGACAGAAGGUGCUGAUGGAAAGGAUAGAAUGCACGUGGGGCAAGUAAAACUUGCUCGGAUGCUCGAGCUGCUAGCUCGCGAUAGAUAGUAGUCCCUUAUUAUUCACAUUGAAUUGUUAUAUAAGCUUUAAACUCUUCGUUUAUAUUUUCAUUCAUUUAUAUUUGCUUUAUCUUUGGAGCUUAAUUGGUAGUUGCCUAUUGAGUAUCAUUCGUUUGGUACUCAUACUACACUUCUGCAGCAGACAGAUUAUAGUACGGGUUAUCGCUAUUGAUUGUGCAUCGGGCGGAGUAACCAUGGUUUAGAGAUUUAGGAUGAACUCCUGACGUUCGGAGUAUUACUCAUCUCUCUCUUUGUAUUAGACUUGUCUCUAUAUUGAAUGUAGAGAUAAGUUGUAUCAAUGUAAAUCUCUUGAUAGACCACUUUUGUACUCUUAAUUAUAUUUAGCAGCUCUUGUACUAAUACCACUAGGUUUCGGGAUUCUAUAAUGUAUUGAUCUUCAUGUCAUUUAUUUCACAGUCUUUUCCUUAUAUUGUUGAGUAGUUUGUUACUAGACGUUUCAGACUAUAGGUUGGCUUGGCUACUGGUGGGUUAUGGUAAGCGCUAUCAUGAUUUGAUAAAUUGAGUCGUGACAAAUUGGUAUCAGAGUUUAGGUUUCAUUAAUGUGGUUGUACAAGAGUUAAGUGUUAGUAGAUUCUUGUGGAUCUGCUUGGAGACGUCUGUAACUUAUCCUCGGGAGGCUAUAGUGACAUUUUAGGAAAUUCACUUCUUGAUUCAUUAUCGUGUGUCCACAUUUCUAUGAACCUUGAACACUUUUGUUUACUGUAUUCUAUCCCCAAAGAAUGAUGCGACAUUGAUGACAGAUGCGGAUGAGACUUCAACGUGCGCUUCUAGAGUUUUAGUGCAGCAUCAUAUUAAAGAGUCAGAGAUAGAUAUCGAAGAUCAUUAGCGACAACCAAAAGGGAUUUGGGCCAGCUUAGGCUUCAAUUGAGCUUGUGACUACUUCAGCCUUUGAGGUUUAACAUUAUGAAUUUAAGCUAUGUUGUAGAUUCCUCGCAACCAUGGUUGACGUUUGAUUCAUCGAGCAGUCCUCAGAUCGGAGUUGAUUCUAUUGGUGUUCAUCAGGGUUCUCUACUAAUUUGGAGUACGAGAUUGGAUCUCUCGUUUGGUCCAGGCUUUUAUUCUCGUAUUGUAUUCAUUUGAGCCAAACAUUAAUGAAUGGAUGCAUUAGAAGAUUAGUAUUGUCACUUCAUUUGGCGUCGAAUCACUUGAUAACAACGAAGUCUUCCUUCCAUUAGAUUGUUGAUUAUGAGAGGAUCAUAGAGCACACAGGUAUUGAGGCUUAUGAAAGUGGCAGCAAGAAGCCAUGCCAUUAGUAUAGUGCUAUAGGUAUUGCAUUUGGGAGUGAGAAUCCUUCCAGUAGAGUUUAGCUUUAUUUGUAGCCCAUGGAUUCUAUGCAAUUAGUAUUUCAGACAAUGAGAUAGUUGAUCAGACAGAGCUAACAUGUAUUUCCCACCAGCCUAGAGUUCAUAAAACAUGCUAUGAUUGUCGAAGGAUGUACAAAAUUCUAGAGAUUUUUCUUGGCGUCAGUUGUCCAGCCAUUUGAGCUCACUUUAUGUCUUUGCCAUGUUGAUGCUUCAGGAAUUGCUAUAACUACAGAGAGAUCGACUACUGGAUUAGAAAGUAUCCCCGACAUAGGAUUUCUAGUCAUUCAACUCAUUCGGAUCAGCCCUGUGAUGAUGUGGCAUCUUCAAUUAGAGAUAGUGCAUGUGGUGCCUCGAUUUAUGAUUCAGUAAGUUGGUCUGAGUUGGACCCGUUUAGAUUAUUUUCCUUAUGCCUAUCUAACAUGUAUGUGAUUGCGUAUGUCGCCACGACUGGUGUGCUUACAUUUCUCACCUUAAUCUUUAUUUUGUGUAUUGAGGUUUUCAUACCGAUUGGUGAUUAUAUGCCUUGAUGAAUUGAUAUUGAUUAUUAUAUGCGUUGUUAUUGGAUUCAUGAUUAUGUUACUUCUCCGUGCUUUAUUUCUUUUAGUAGUGGAUAAUGUAAAUUUAUAUUGAUAUUGUUCCCCUAUAGGUGUGGUUUGGGUUCGAGUCCUAUUUAUCUUGUCAUAUUAGCCCUGUUAUGGCCCUUGAGUGGUACAUGAUAUUGAUGUUCAUUUUUGGUACUGCCUGUUCAGUAUGUUGAUAUUGUUGUUCCUGUUGUUAUUGCUACCACUGCAUGAGAAUUACUGAUAUUUUUUUAUAUUCUCACUUUAUGUUCUUCCUUGAUGUAAUUGAUUCUUACUGGGUAGCUGUAUAGACUAGUGUUAUUUAGUAAGACUUUUAUUUUCUUAUGAUAUUAUUCGGUGGCUUGAGUAGAUGUAGCCCGAUUUGAUGAUUUCUUUCCCCUAGCACGGCAAGGUUGAUCGUGUUCCCUCUUGGUUAGCUAUAUUAUAAUUGUUCGGGGAUGUAUUAUGGUAUCGAAAGGCUGGUUGACCUUUUACGGCUCUGUAUGACUCUAGAGUUGACAAUUUAUUUACAUUGCCUAUUAUUGAGUCUGAGAUCCUUAGAAUUGCUUUCUGGGUUGCAAAGGUUUUUGCCUUGGCUAUUCUCUUAGAUAUAGUCGCUUGUGAUAUUGACCAUUUUAAGGUCCGUUCUUCAUUUGUGGCUAUUUCUUUGUCCGAUAGCGGUUUCAAUUAUGAUGUAGAGAUGAGUGGAUUUAUCUCUUAGGUUUGUUGUGUUGGUUCCCUUGUGAUGGCUUACUCUUGUUAUCAGUGUGGUGAUUGGAUACUCCUUUUGUUGAUGUGGCAUGGUUUUGUCCAGUGAAGUUGGAAAGUUAGAGGUAGGUGGCUUUUCCUGUGAUCACUUUAUGAGUUGGCAAGUUGGAAAUUCUUUAUCUUGAUUUGUUGAUUUCUUGAUGGUGGUUUUUGACUUUGGCCUAGGUUUCUAGAUUGGUAUUUUUCUUCUUUGAUGAUGAGAUUAUAGGUAUUUGGUAAAUUCCCAUUUUAGAGUUCAGCCUAAUGAGGCUUAGUGGAGUGUUUCUCUUCGAUGAUAUAUGCAUAUGGCUAUUCCUUGUUGGGAUGGAGUGUUAUAUUGAUUAGUUGUCGACUAAAAUUGCAUUUCUCUGAGUUGUGAGUGUUUUUUCCUUUGCUAGUGUGGUUUUCAACCUUGGAAAGUUUUUGAGUAGGUUUGGAUAGCUCAUGCCCUCCAGCGAAUAUGCAGUGGAUUAUAUGCAUUUUCAGCCAAUUUAUCCCUUUGUAUGAUUGCUAUUUAGCGACUAUAUUUCGUCCCUUCAGCUGAUAGAGAGUUAGUUGCUUGUGUUUUACUUAGUGGUUAGCCCUGUGGUAAUUUUGCUCUUCAGAUACAUCUCGACUGUGGCUUGGUAUGAUUUAUCUUGGAUAUGUUAGAUUUGGAUACUAGAGUCAAUUAGAGAUAGUUGACAUUGAUAUAGCCUUAUUGGCUCAGUUUUGAAUUUGUCUCCUUGGAAUGACGAUUUGGAAUUAUGAUAGAUUUGGGGCAUUAAUACCUACACAUUUUUAGUGUUGGUUUAGAUAUUCGAGACUGAGCGAUUCAGCCUUGGUAUUGAGAUUUUAGCUUGGUAUUGCAGAGCUUAUGUUCAACUUUUGUUUUAGAUUUGCCUUUGUUCAGAUUUCAUUUAUAGGCCAGUUGAGCCUACUCCGUGUUUUCCUAUUAGUCUUCUAGACGUCAAAUAUAUUAUAGUUGAUAAAUGUUAAAAUGACAACCCAUGGGCCUCGUAUUGGCUACUUCAGUGUUGACUUAGAGUUUUUCAUUUUCUUUAGGGAUUUUGGAUGAUUUACUUAAUGGGAGUAAUAUUCUUAAGAUGGAUUCAGUAUGGCUUUAUUCUCAAUUGAUGGGACAUCUUGGAGCAAAAUAUUCAGUGAUAAGUAGUUAUUCCUUGGAAUUCGGGAUUUCAGUUUGAUCUUUACAUGGACUGGUUGCAUCAUUGGCAUAGAUUGUAUUUCUUGAUUAUCUCCAUUUGUUUGUCCAACUAGCACCUUAUGAGCUUAUUCUCAAGUUUCUCAUAUGGACUUUUAGCGGAUCAACUUUAGUUCUAUGAGUUCUCGGUGCAGAUUGUGCGGGCGAGACUCAGGUGAUUUUUCUCCUAGUUCGGAGUGGAUAGAAGCAAUGGAUUAGUAAAAGAAGAUUAUAUUUGGAUUCAAGAGUUAGUGGUAUGACUCAUGACUUGAGUCGAUUUGGCUUGGAUAGGCCUUUGUUGAUUUGUAUGGGUAUCGAGAUGGUAUCAGCGUGUUAUGGUUUAGAUUUGCGUGCCUCAGUCUUUUUAGUUUAGUUGGAGGCCAGUUAGCGGUUGAAGUUUAGUUUUGGCUGUUUGGAAUACAUAUAGCGAAUUUCCUUACAAGUGUUCUCUCCUUGUGGAGGUUACCUGGGAAGUCAUGCUUGGAGCAUGCGGGCAUCGUAGCUCAUCCCUUCAAACCUUUGAAAUUUUUUCUAUUAGUUGACUCUCGGGGAAGAAAGUCCUUUUAGUAGUGGAUAUUGUAAUGACCCUUCAGUUCAUUUUUCUAUGUAAUCUUAUGUUCAUCAUUUGAGCUUCUCUAUAGCUGGCCCAAGUCAUUUAUGACUUGCUGGGAUAGACGGUUCGAUUACUGGACAAUUCAUUUGAGUUUUAGAGUCAAUUUCCUGUUUUAAAGUCAUCGUUGGUUCUAAAAGGCCAUCAAGCGAAAACUUCAGUGAAACGAUCUCAGAUGCAAAUUUCGACUGUGACAGCAGAUACAAAAUAUCAAUUUUAGUCUAGGUAGACCUUUGGUUUUGUUUUUCACUUUGAUCUCAUUGGCUUGAUAUAUAAGCUCUAGACUCUUGGGUGUAGUUUCCAUUCUGUUUAUAUGCUGCUUAUAUCUGUUUUAUCUUUGGUGCUCAGUUCACAGUUGCCUACUGAGUAUCAUUCGCUUGGUACUCAUACUACACUUCUACAGCCUGCAGAUAAUAGUACGGGUUAUCUCUGUUGAUUGUGCAUCGUGCGGAGAAACCAUGGUUCAAAGACUUAGAGUGAACUCCUGAUGUUUGGAGUACUACGCAUCUCUCUCCUUGUAUUAGACUAGUCUCUAUAUUGAAUGCAGAGAUAAGUUGUAUCAGUAUAAUUCUCUUGAUAGACCACUUUUGUAGUCUUAAAUAUAUUUAGAAGCUCUUAUACUGAUACCACUAGGUUUUGAGAUUCUAUUAUGUAUUGAUCUUUAUGUCAUUUAUUUCAUAUUAUUUUUCUUGUAUUAUUGAGUAGUCCGUUACUAGCAGUUUCAGACUACGAGUUGGCUUGCCUACUGGUGGGUUAUGGUAGGCGCUAUCAUGAUCUGAUUAAUCGAGUUAUGACAGCUGGUCAUUGCAUUAAAUUUUCUUAUAAGUUGUUAUGUUUUCUUUUCAUGAUUUAUUUAUUGUGUUUACGUAAUCUAACCUUGGUUAGCCAAUGAUAUCUAUCAAUACAUAUUGUUUGUACUGAUACUCUUGCUAUACCCUUUUUGAGGUAUAGUCUUUUGCAAGAAUCAGUAUUGGUUUCAUGAUUGUUGUUGAUUGUGAUCCUUCAACAACUUCUACUCCUCUCAUUCAUGAUGAAAGUUGUGCCAGUCUUAUCGUUCUUGAUUUAGAAGCUCUUGUACCUGUUUAAAUUAGUUUCUAGGGAUAGUUUACAUUUCCGCAAAUAAUAUUUGUAAUAAAACAGUUGUAAUAAAGAUUAGUUAAUUUUAUUUAAUAAAGAAUUUCCCAUGUUAUGUUGCACGAAUGAUAAGGAGUUCUCCUAUCUAGGUGGAUUAGAGUAGGUGCCCUCACAAUCGGUAGUUUGGAUCGUGACAUAUACCUACUACGUGUAGAUAUUUGAUCUUGAAAAAGGCUUUAUAGUUAUACUCUUCAGACCCAUAUUGGUACACUUGUCCUUCUUUAUAAAGGAAUUAAACUAUGAUUUUUGAUAUUUUCAAAGUAUAUAGUUUUACGUUCUAGAAAUGUUUUAAAAGGUGGGGUGUGAGGCUAUGCAUUUUAAAUAAUACGGGGUGAGGUGUAAGUCUCGAGACACGGAGUGUAAAUUCCAUGGAUCUACGCGGUGUAUAUCUCAUGCAUCCUCAAUUUUAUAAUUUUAUACUAAAGAACAUAAGUAAAAGUAAAUUUUUCAAUAAUUCUACAAAUAAAUUUAAAUAAAUCACCAAUAACACAAAAAAAAAUAUUAUAAUUAUUAUUUGAGAAAGAUAUCAACAGAAAAAAUGAUAAUAACCGAGAUAAUCUUUACAAAGAAAUCAUCAGUAUAAAUAUUCAUCUCUAUAUUUGCUAGUCCUUCCACCCUCAGCUAAUAUUUGCAUUGAUUAUUAUUUAUAUAUUUCAAAGAAGGAGAAUGAUAAAAAGUGUAUGACAAACAAUAAAUAAAGUUGCCUCAUGAGCACAGUGCUAUGAAAUCUCUACUCUUUUCAAUUUUAAGCAUGAUUAUCUAAAAGAUAAAAACUGAUAGUGCCGUUUUAUAUGAGAGUUGUUUUUUUUUUUUAAAGAAAAAAAGUUAUUUAUAUAUUUUAGAAAAAAUCACUAGAACCUGAAAAUGUGAUAGGAUAAAGUAUAAAUAUCAUUACGCCAAUAAUAAAAACAUGAUUUAUAGAAAAAUGCUUUUAAAAUAAUAAAAAAUAAAAUUAACACCUGAAACAUAUAUUUUUGUGUCCGGGGCUUAUGCUGCAAAUUCAAUUGCAUAUGCCUAAUUGAUCUACGCCUUUAAUUUGUGUCCUUAAUUUUUUUAUACGCCCCCACUGUGAGACUCGCCACAAAAAACGCCUGUGAAAACAUUGCUUAUUAAUAUUUAUUAUUCGACUUUAAUUUUAGAGAUCUACACAAAUUUCAUAAUUUGAGAUAGUAGUGUAAAUUUUGAUUCUAUUUUUUUAAAAGGUAUGCAAAACUUGUCUCAAUAUUAUACAUUCAGAACAUAAAAUUACGCUUUAAUAAGUUAUUUUAUGUAGGGUAUGAUUUCAGGACAUAACUUAUUCUACAUACUUAUCAAGUUGAUCAAAAAAUUUAUCGGAUUGACAAACCUGACAUAUGUUAUACAAAUAUUUACAAGUUUUGGUGAACUAGUAAAAUUAUUAAUUUUGGUCUACUUAUAUUGUUAAAUGUGUUCAUAAGUUUUGAUGGAUUAGCAAUGUUAGGUUUUUAAGAUGCGUGAAUGAAAAAUGAACAGGUGUUUUCUAAAAAGACAUCAAGUGAAAAGAUGCAACUUGAAUAGGCACUUUCUCUGUUUGGAUGAUUAUGACCUUUCCAAGGGUUGUGAUUUUUUCGAAGAGUUGCACCUUUAUGAUGAGGUGCACCUUUUUGAACCAUUUCUUCUCUUCACGAAGAAAAGCCUUGAUGGCUAUAAAUACCUGAUUUUUUUCUCAAGUACAUACAUGAAAAUUUAAAGUAAAAAAGCACUUCUCUUUCUUAAAAAACUCUAAUGUGAUUUGCUAUCGUUGAGACUCGAGGGGGUGUAAAUGACAAAUUAGAGAUGUGGAGGCAAACUCUUGAGUCUAAAGGGUUCAGGGUGAGCAGAAGCAAGACAGAGUAUGUGGAAUGUAAGUUUAAUGACGUGAGGCGGGAAAACGAGGUAGUAGUGAAGCUGGAAGCACAGGAGGUAUGUAAGAGGGAUAAGUUCAAGUAUCUCGGGUCCGUGAUCCAGAGUAACGGUGAGAUUGACGAGGAUGUCUCGCACCGUAUUGGGGCGGGAUGGAUGAAGUGGAAACUCGCGUCGGGGGUGCUGUGUGAUAAGAAGGUGCCGCCCAAGCUUAAAGGCAAAUUCUAUAGGGGGGUAGUCCGUCCGGCCUUGCUGUUUGGAGCGGAGUGUUGGCCAGUUAAGAACUCCCACAUCCAAAAAAUGAAGGUGGCAGAAAUGCGGAUGUUGCGCUGGAGGUGUGGACUGACUCGAGGGGAUAGAGUUCGGAAUGAGACUAUCCGGGAGAAGGUUGGUGUGACUUCAGUGGAGUGUAAGAUGCGGGAAGCACGAUUGAGAUGGUUCGGACACGUGAAGAGGAGGGGCAUGGAUGCCCCGGUCCGUAGGUGUGAGAGGCUAGCGUUGGAUGGUUUUAGACGGGGUAGGGGUAGACCGAAGAAGUACUGGGGUGAGGUGAUUAGGCGGGACAUGGAACAGUUACAGCUCACCGAGGACAUGACCCUAGAUAGGAAGGUCUGGAAGACGCGAAUUACGGCAGAAGAGUAGGGCCAGAUUGGGUCGCUAGUGUAGGAAAUUACUGGGUGGGGUUUUUUUUUUUAUUUUUUAUUUUUUAUUCCUGUUAUGAUUCCGUAUUCAGUGUUCCAUGCUUAUUACGAAUCUGUGUGCUUUCCUCUGCUUUCCUCUGUUUUAUAUUCCUUAUGGGUGCCGUAUUUAUGUUAUGUCAUCUGCUUCUGUGCUUUACUAUGUGUUUGUGUGAUAUCUUAUGCCUUGAGCCGGGGGUUUUUCGGAAACAGCCUUUCUACUUCAUCAGAGGUAGAGGUAUGGACUGCGUACAUCUAACCCCCCCCAGACCCCACUAAGUGGGAAUACACUGGGUUUGUUGUUGUUGUUGUUUGGUGGAAAAAAAAUAUCACAAUUUAUAAAUCAAGUACUUGGUUAUCUGUAUUGGGUGUUAUUUUGUGAAGACUAAAAUAUUUCGAUUUCUACUCCCUCGGUUAGAAGAAUAUAAAAACUUCACUGAGAAAUUGGAUUGGAAGUUCAAUAUGAAAAAUAUAAAAACUUCACCUAUUUGAUUAAUUCUCUGUAUUGAUUUCUAGACUUUAAAAACCUAUGGGUUUUUGCUAUGUUUGAACUUGAUUGUGAUUUGAAGAUAUAAAAAUUUCAUCACGAGUCAAAGUUCAUUCGGUUGAUGAUUUGAAGACAUAAAAAACUUUAUUGUUGACUAGAAAAAAGUUGCUUGAAAAUUAAAUAUUUAUUGUUAGUAUUCUAAAAUACAAAAUUAAUUAUCAAAGCGUUUCACAAAAAUGACAAAUAAAAUUGAAUAAAAAAUUAAUUCAAUUGUGAAUGGUGUUGUCCAUAUGGCAAUCAAUAUUACGUUAUUAAGCCAUUCAGAUGUUGCUUUAGCAAUGGCUUCGGUAGAGAAACUAGAAAAAAAUUGGUGUGAACUUUAAUGACAACAAAUAAUUUGCUUUUGGCUGACCAAGCUUGAAAUGCAAAUGUUCACAAGUAGAGAUCCCCAUAUUUCGAAACAAAGAAAUGUUUGAAAAUCAAUUGUCUAAUUUGAAAAAUCUUGUAAUUCAUUUCAAAAUAGAAGAGGACAAUAAGUUGAAUGAGAUAUCACCAAUGAUGGUUACAAAUCUAGUUAAAUAUAAUGCUGCAGAUAAUAAUAAUAAUAAUAAUAAUAAUAAUAAUAAUAAGAAGAAGAAGAAGAAGAAGAAGAAGAAGAAGAAGAAGGAGGAGGAGGAGGAGGAGGAGGAGGAGAAGAAGAAGAAGAAGAAGAAGAAGAAGAAGGAGAAGAAGAAGAAGAAGAAGGAGAAGAAGAAGAAGAAGAAGGAGAAGAAGAAGAAGAAGAAGAAGAAGAAGAAGAAGAAGAAGAAGAAGAAGAAGAAGAAGAAGAAGAAGAAGAAGAAGAAGAAGAAGAAGAAGAAGAAGAAGAAGAAGAAGAAGAAGAAGAAGAAGAAGAAGAAGAAGAAGAAGAAGAAGAAGAAGAAGAAGAAGAAGAAGAAGAAGAAGAAGAAGAAGAAGAAGAAGAAGAAGAAGAAGAAGAAGAAGAAGAAGAAGAAGAAGAAGAAGAAGAAGAAGAAGAAGAAGAAGAAGAAGAAGAAGAAGAAGAAGAAGAAGAAGAAGAAGAAGAAGAAGAAGAAGAAGAAGAAGAAGAAGAAGAAGAAGAAGAAGAAGAAGAAGAAGAAGAAGAAGAAGAAGAAGAAGAAGAAGAAGAAGAAGAAGAAGAAGAAGAAGAAGAAGAAGAAGAAGAAGAAGAAGAAGAAGAAGAAGAAGAAGAAGAAGAAGAAGAAGAAGAAGAAGAAGAAGAAGAAGAAGAAGAAGAAGAAGAAGAAGAAGAAGAAGAAGAAGAAGAAGAAGAAGAAGAAGAAGAAGAAGAAGAAGAAGAAGAAGAAGAAGAAGAAGAAGAAGAAGAAGAAGAAGAAGAAGAAGAAGAAGAAGAAGAAGAAGAAGAAGAAGAAGAAGAAGAAGAAGAAGAAGAAGAAGAAGAAGAAGAAGAAGAAGAAGAAGAAGAAGAAGAAGAAGAAGAAGAAGAAGAAGAAGAAGAAGAAGAAGAAGAAGAAGAAGAAGAAGAAGAAGAAGAAGAAGAAGAAGAAGAAGAAGAAGAAGAAGAAGAAGAAGAAGAAGAAGAAGAAGAAGAAGAAGAAGAAGAAGAAGAAGAAGAAGAAGAAGAAGAAGAAGAAGAAGAAGAAGAAGAAGAAGAAGAAGAAGAAGAAGAAGAAGAAGAAGAAGAAGAAGAAGAAGAAGAAGAAGAAGAAGAAGAAGAAGAAGAAGAAGAAGAAGAAGAAGAAGAAGAAGAAGAAGAAGAAGAAGAAGAAGAAGAAGAAGAAGAAGAAGAAGAAGAAGAAGAAGAAGAAGAAGAAGAAGAAGAAGAAGAAGAAGAAGAAGAAGAAGAAGAAGAAGAAGAAGAAGAAGAAGAAGAAGAAGAAGAAGAAGAAGAAGAAGAAGAAGAAGAAGAAGAAGAAGAAGAAGAAGAAGAAGAAGAAGAAGAAGAAGAAGAAGAAGAAGAAGAAGAAGAAGAAGAAGAAGAAGAAGAAGAAGAAGAAGAAGAAGAAGAAGA